AGAGUUUGAUCCUGGCUCAGAAUCAACGUUGGCGGCGCGCUUAACACAUGCAAGUCGGACGAGAAAGUGGAGCAAUCCAUGAGUACAGUGGCGUACGGGUGAGUAACACGUGGGUAAUCUACCUUUUGGUGGGGGAUAACCUGGGGAAACCUGGGCUAAUACCGCAUAAUCCCGCAAGGGCAAAGCAGCAAUGCGCCGAUAGAGGAGCCCGCGGCCGAUCAGCUAGUUGGUGGGGUAAUGGCUCACCAAGGCGAAGAUCGGUAGCCGGCCUGAGAGGGCACACGGCCACACUGGCACUGAAACACGGGCCAGACUCCUACGGGAGGCAGCAGUGGGGAAUCUUGCACAAUGGGGGAAACCCUGAUGCAGCGACGCCGCGUGAGUGAUGAAGUCCUUCGGGAUGUAAAGCUCUUUCGACGGGAACGAUUAUGACGGUACCCGGAGAAGAAGCUGCGGCUAACUACGUGCCAGCAGCCGCGGUAAUACGUAGGCAGCAAACGUUGUUCGGAAUUACUGGGCGUAAAGAGUGUGUAGGCGGUUGGGUAAGUUUGGUGCGAAAUCUCCCGGCUUAACUGGGAGGGUGCGCCGAAAACUGCCUGGCUCGAGUACUGGAGAGGAAAGCGGAAUUCCUGGAGUAGCGGUGAAAUGCGUAGAUAUCAGGAGGAACACCGGUGGUGUAGACGGCUUUCUGGACAGUCACUGACGCUGAGACACGAAAGCGUGGGGAGCAAACAGGAUUAGAUACCCUGGUAGUCCACGCCCUAAACGAUGCAUACUUGGUGUAAGUCCUUCAUUGGAUU
rnacentral:rRNA from 1 species